rnacentral:sRNA from 1 species
AAAGAGAGAAACGGGAGCCGGAGCAGGGAGAGGUUGGGAAGAGGCCUGGACAGGCCCAGGCCUUGGAGGAAGCGGGUGAUCUUCCUGAAGAUCCCCAGAAAGUUCCAGAAGCAGAUGGUCAGCCAGCUGUCCAGCCUGCAAAGGAGGACCUGGAGCCAGGAGACAGGGGCCUGCAUCCUCGGCCCCAGGCAGUGCUGUCUGAGCAGCAGAAUGGCCUGGCAGUGGAUGAAGGGGAAAAGGCCGAGGGGGUACCGCCACCAGGCAACGCCGCCGGGGACACAGGGCAGCCCGCAGAGGACAGCGACCACGGUGGGUGUCAGCCUGGGCUCAUGUCAGAAGACACUUCCCUCUCGGGCUGGGGAGGCUGGGCAGGGGCAGCAGAAUCGAUGGUUCCUCCCUCAGUCCCCAGUCUCUCUCCCUGCACCAGAUUAGCAUGCAAAUGGAGCGGGCCCGGGCAGCUGGUGGGGACAGGAAGAGGCUGGUGGCUGACAGCUACUGUAAUAUCUGUCACACAGUUGUUUGCCAGACCACUAAAUGUCAGGUGCCGCGCUGUGCUCGUGUGGGCGCACACGGGGGGCGGCGCGGGGGGCGCCUGACAGGUAACACGUUGUUAAAUGCCCGUCUAAGAGCUGCUUAGGACGGUUCUUGCAUUUUAAUUGCGAAGGCAGUUAACAUUGGCUCAUUGCCACAAGCCUAUGAGGUUGUUAAAUAUUUUUUUAUUGCUUCGCUAGUAAUCAUCAGGUUGAAUAUAAACUGUGCUGACGGGGGUGUCACUUUAGAAACAUCUGCCACUUCCUUUUGUCCCGCCCUUGCCUUCUGUCCCCCCACCCCCCAAAUCCUCCCUUGACUUUCCUGCAAAACCUUCUGAGUCUUCACCGUGUGUGCAGGUGGGAAGCCUCCCCUCCCAGAGGAGAAGCCGGCUCCGGGGGCUGGGCUGCCGCCCGAGCCUCGAGAGCAGAGGGACGUGGAGCGAGCGGGUGGAGACCAGGCGGCCAGCCAGCUGGAGGGUAAGGCCUUGGCCCCACAGCCGCCCACCUCAGGCCCAGAGAGCGGCAGCCCCUUCCCCCAGCCCUGGGGUGAUGCCCAGGUCAUCCUAGGGCGCCCUGCCAGGCCCCCCUUCUCUUUCCAGCCGUCUGCUGAGCAGACCCCUUGUAUAGCUUCCUGCUCCCUUCCCAUCAGCAGCUUGCUUUCUGGGAACCUUUUAUCUCCCUUACUCCCCUCUAAAACACCUGCGGCAUUGUUACAUGGCUUGUGAUUACCAUUUUGUCUUACUUGAAAGCAGGUUUGUUAACAGUUCUAACACUCAAGCAGUAUUUAAAGCCAGCCAGGUGUGGGCGUGUCUGCACCCAGAUGUGGAGGUUUAUUUAAAGGCUGUGCCCCGAGGGGACCCGGCUUGGGGGUGGCUGUGCCCGCCCUGGUCCUAGCGGAGCCCUGGCCCAGAGCACUGCUCCCACACGCUUGGCCGUCGGAGCUCGGCUGUGUUCAUCUACAGGGAUCUAUCACCUGUCCUUCCAGGAAAGCUCCUUAUGCCUUUGCUCUCCUGAGAAUAAAACUUGCUCUGAAUCCUC